rnacentral:rRNA from 1 species
AACGAACGCUGGCGGCAUGCCUAACACAUGCAAGUCGAACGAGACCUUCGGGUCUAGUGGCGCACGGGUGCGUAACGCGUGGGAAUCUGCCCUUGGUUCGGAAUAACAGUUAGAAAUGACUGCUAAUACCGGAUAAUGUCUUCGGACCAAAGAUUUAUCGCCCGGGGAUGAGCCCCGCGUAGGAUUAGCUAGUUGGUGAGGUAAAGGCUCACCAAGGCGACGAUCCUUAGCUGGUCUGAGAGGACGACCAGCCACACUGGAACUGAGACACGGUCCAGACUCCUACGGGAGGCAGCAGUGGGGGAAUUUUGGACAAUGGGCGCAAGCCUGAUCCAGCCAUUCCGCGUGAGUGAAGAAGGCC